GACGUCGAUGUGAGUUGGAAGUAAGGCUUUCAGGGUUUUAAACCUCUGUCACGACGUUGUAGAAACGUCAGGCCAGGUGAAUAUGCUCCUGGCCUGACGGUACACUAUCAGGGCGAAUUGGGCCGGCUAACGUCGCGUGCUCAGCGGCCGCGGUAAUACGGCGGGCGCAGGCGUUAAUUCGGAAUCACUGGGCGUAAAGCGUGCGUAGGCUGUUUUUUAAGUCAGGCGUGAAAUCCCUCGGGCUUAACCUGGGAACUGCGUUUGAUGACUGGUUGGACUCGAGUCCUGGCAGAGGGUGGUGGAAUUCCUGGUGUAGGAGUGAAAUGCGUAGAUAUGUGGAGGAACACCGGUGGCGAAGGCGGCCCCCUGGGCCGGUACUGACGCUGAUGCACGAAAGCGUGGGGAGCAAACAGGAUUAGAUACCCUGGUAGUCCACGCGGUAAACGAUGUGAUGCUAGGUGUUGGGUGGGUAAAGCGAUCUUCGGUGCCGGAGCUAACGCGUUAAGUUGUCCGCCUGGGGAGUACGGUCGCAAGGUUGAAACUCAAAGGAAUUGACGG
rnacentral:rRNA from 1 species